UACAGAGGGGGCAAGCGUUGUUCGGAAUUACUGGGCGUAAAGGGCGCGUAGGCGGCCUGUUAAGUCGAACGUGAAAUCCCUGGGCUCAACCCAGGAACUGCGUCCGAUACUGGCAGGCUUGAAUUCGGGAGAGGGAUGUGGAAUUCCAGGUGUAGCGGUGAAAUGCGUAGAUAUCUGGAGGAACACCGGUGGCGAAGGCGGCAUCCUGGACCAUUACUGACACUGAAAAGCGAAAGCCAGGGGAGCAAACGGG
rnacentral:rRNA from 1 species